GGUGUCCCGGUUUUUGAAAUCUAGUAUAUCGAAUUGAAUGAGAUUUCUCAUAGAUCGAUCUUAUCUUUAUUCUUUUUUUUGGGGGGUUAACCAAAAGAGGUUAAUUCCAUGAGCAUGAGUUUCAAACUUGACUUUUGAUUAAAUUAAUAAUCAGCUUUGCUUUCAUUUUAUCUUUUCUCCCACCGUCAGAAGAAUAACAUAGAAGCAUUUCCAC
rnacentral:lncRNA from 1 species